rnacentral:rRNA from 1 species
AGUGAACGCUGGCGGUAGGCCUAACACAUGCAAGUCGAACGGCAGCACAGUAAGAGCUUGCUCUUACGGGUGGCGAGUGGCGGACGGGUGAGGAAUACAUCGGAAUCUACUUUUUCGUGGGGGAUAACGUAGGGAAACUUACGCUAAUACCGUAUACGACCUACGGGUGAAAGCAGGGGAUCUUCGGACCUUGCGCGAUUGAAUGAGCCGAUGUCGGAUUAGCUAGUUGGCGGGGUAAAGGCCCACCAAGGCGACGAUCCGUAGCUGGUCUGAGAGGAUGAUCAGCCACACUGGAACUGAGACACGGUCCAGACUCCUACGGGAGGCAGCAGUGGGAAUAUUGGACAAUGGGCGCAAGCCUGAUCCAGCCAUACCGCGUGGGUGAAGAAGGCCUUCGGGUUGUAAAGCCCUUUUGUUGGGAAAGAAAAGCAGCAGGUUAAUACCCCGCUGUUCUGACGGUACCCAAAGAAUAAGCACCGGCUAACUUCGUG